UGCAUUCUCUUCACAAUGCUAUUCAUGUUUGUAUUUGAUUUUCUAGAUCUAGGUGCCUUAUUAGAAGCCUCCAAUUUGUGCCAUUAUCACUUUUAUCUUCCACUUAGUUUCAUGUUGUUUGGUGGUGUCUGAACCUUGGAAUUACCCAUUUCUGCUGCAUUGUAGGAAUAUGAGUAAUGUAUUGAAUGCGAGGGACUAAUUUUCCAUUUGCAGACCACAGCUGAAGCAGCAGAUCAUUGUCAUUAGGAACUGACAUGUUGUGUGCAACUGAAGUAUAGAAGCCUCAAAAGAACCAGCUCCUACUACCAACAUCACCCAGCCAACUAGUACAAAAGAUGGACUCUGUUGCAAGUUCUAUUAUCAAUAUUAUUUCCACCUUUUAAGUUCUGAACAUGAAGAACAUCUUUGUUGUUAUUUGCUGCAAAUUUAUUUAUUUAUUUAUUAUAUAUUUGUGGAUCUUUUUUUGACCGGAUUAAGUGGGCCUGGGUUGUAUUAUUAGAGUGGUUCUUUCACCUGCAACAUUAUAAAUAAAGUGGUGUAGAGAGAUCUUUCUACACUUUUUCUUC